rnacentral:rRNA from 1 species
GACGAACGCUGGCGGCGUGCUUAACACAUGCAAGUCGAACGGAAAGGCCCUGCUUUUGUGGGGUGCUCGAGUGGCGAACGGGUGAGUAACACGUGAGUAACCUGCCCUUGACUUUGGGAUAACUUCAGGAAACUGGGGCUAAUACCGGAUAGGAGCUCCUGCUGCAUGGUGGGGGUUGGAUAGUUUCGGCGGUUGGGGAUGGACUCGCGGCUUAUCAGCUUGUUGGUGGGGUAGUGGCUUACCAAGGCUUUGACGGGUAGCCGGCCUGUGAGGGUGACCGGCCACAUUGGGACUGAGAUACGGCCCAGACUCCUACGGGAGGCAGCAGUGGGGAAUAUUGCACAAUGGGCGGAAGCCUGAUGCAGCAACGCCGCGUGCGGGAUGACGGCCUUCGGGUUGUAAACCGCUUUCGCCUGUGACGAAGCGUGAGUGACGGUAAUGGGUAAAGAAGCACCGGCUAACUACGUG